rnacentral:rRNA from 1 species
AAACCUACCUCUUAGCAGGGAUAACAUUUGGAAACAAUGCUAAUACCGUAUAAUAAUUAAAACCGCAUGGUUUAGUUUAAAAGAUUGGUCUUGCUAUCACUAAGAGAUGGUCCCGCGGUGUAUUAGUUAGUUGGUGAGGUAAUGGCUCACCAAGACAAUGAUACAUAGCCGAGUUGAGAGACUGACCGGCCACAAUGGGACUGAGACACGGCCCAUACUCCUACGGGAGGCAGCAGUUAGGGAAUCUUCCACAAUGGACGAAAGUCUGAUGGAGCAACGCCGCGUGUGUGAUGAAGGGUUUCGGCUCGUAAAACACUGUUGUUAAGAAGAAGAAUGACAUUGAGAGUAACUGUUCAAUGUGUGACGGUAUCUUACCAGAAAGGAACGGCUAAAUACGUG